ACUUGAGCUAAUACCGUAUAAUGACUUCGGUCCAAAGAUUUAUCGCCUGAGGAUGAGCCCGCGUCGGAUUAGCUAGUUGGUGAGGUAAAAGCUCACCAAGGCGACGAUCCGUAGCUGGUCUGAGAGGAUGAUCAGCCACACUGGGACUGAGACACGGCCCAGACUCCUACGGGAGGCAGCAGUGGGGAAUAUUGGACAAUGGGCGAAAGCCUGAUCCAGCAAUGCCGCGUGAGUGAUGAAGGCCUUAGGGUUGUAAAGCUCUUUUACCCGGGAUGAUAAUGACAGUACCGGGAGAAUAAGCCCCGGCUAACUCUGUGCCAGCAGCCGCGGUAAUACAGAGGUCUCAAGCGUUGUUCGGAUUCAUUGGGCGUAAAGGGUGCGUAGGUGGCGCUGUAAGUCGGGUGUGAAAUUUCGGAGCUUAACUCCGAAACUGCAUUCGAUACUGCGGUGCUUGAGGACUGGAGAGGAGACUGGAAUUCAUGGUGUAGCAGUGAAAUGCGUAGAGAUCAUGAGGAAGACCAGUGGCGAAGGCGGGUCUCUGGACAGUUCCUGACACUGAGGCACGAAGGCCAGGGGAGCAAACGGGAUUAGAUACCCCGGUAGUCCUGGCCGUAA
rnacentral:rRNA from 1 species